rnacentral:tRNA from 1 species
GCACCGUCAACUAACCAGCUCGCAUGGCUUAGUGGUAAAGCGCAUGACUAGUAAUCAUGAGAUCCUCGGUUCGACUCCGAGUGUGAGCAU